rnacentral:rRNA from 1 species
CCAAUAGCGUAUAUUAAAGUUGUUGCAGUUAAAAAGCUCGUAGUUGAAUUUCGGGGUCAGCAGGUUGGUCGUGCCUAUGGUAUGAACUGGCUUCGCUGGUCUCUCCUUUCUGAAGAACUGUAAUGCCAUUAAUUUGGUGUUGCAGGGACACAGGACUGUUACUUUGAAAAAAUUCGAGUGUUUAAAGCAGGCUAACGCUUGAAUACAUUAGCAUGGAAUAAUGAAAUAGGACGUUCGAACCUAUUUUGUUGGUUUCUAGGAUUGACGUAAUGAUUAAUAGGGAUAGUUGGGGGCAUUAGUAUUCAAUUGUCAGAGGUGAAAUUCUUGGAUUUAUUGAAGACUGACUACUGCGAAAGCAUUUGCCAAGGAUGUUUUCAUUAAUCAAGAACGAAAGUUAGGGGAUCGAAGACGAUCAGAUACCGUCGUAGUCUUAACCAUAAACUAUGCCGACUAGGGAUCGGAUGAUGUUAAUUUUUUAAUGACUCAUUCGGCGCCUUACG